rnacentral:lncRNA from 1 species
UAUUACUUUGAGAUCUAAAUUAUCAACUUUAUGGAUUUUGUUUCUUUUUUUUUUCUAGAAUAUUUUUCUCAAAUGCAAAUAACUCUUAUUCAAUAUCAUUUUUGAUUUUUUUUUUUAUCAUUUAUCAAUUUGUAUUAAUAAAAGUCAACAAGUGUCUUAAAUAAACUAAAGUUACCCUUAGUAUUAAAUAUAAGAAUACUAUUUUAAGAACUAUAUAUUUAAAAAUAGUAUAAUAUUUUAGGAACAAUAUAUUUAAUUUUGG